rnacentral:rRNA from 1 species
CCGCGGUAAUACGUAGGGCGCAAGCGUUAUCCGGAUUUAUUGGGCGUAAAGGGCGCGUAGGCGGCAGGCCAAGCGUGCGGUGAAAGUCCGGGGCUCAACCCCGGAUCUGCCGUGCGGACUGGUUUGCUCGAGCACUGUAGAGGCGAGUGGAAUUCCGGGUGUAGCGGUGGAAUGCGUAGAGAUCCGGAAGAACACCGGUGGCGAAGGCGGCUCGCUGGGCAGUGGCUGACGCUGAGGCGCGACAGCGUGGGGAGCAAACAGG